GAGAGAGGGGGAGAGAAAACCAGGGUCCUUCAGGCACAGAAAUAAAGGGAUAACUUCCAGAAAUCCUUGGGUGUCUUUGACUGAAUGAGGCAGGACUGACAGUCUGUCUGCCAUCGUGCAGCCUGCUUACCUGCAUAAAAUCUGGCCCAAAACUCUACCCAAGUCUGACAAGCUCAUUUCUCAGGAGCAGCCUGGAAGGGGUAUUGUAAAAUCUCAGGUAUUUGCAAACUAUGGCUCACCCCCUGAUUUUGUAAGUGUUAUGGGAACACAGCCACGUGUAUCCACUUACAUAUUCUCUAUGGCCACUGUGGCUUUACAAUGUCAGAACUGAAUGGCUUCAAGAGAGAAAGUAGAGCCCAUAAAGCCUUGAAUAUUUACUGUCUGGCUCUUUAUAGAAAAAGUUUGCCAACCCUUGCAAUGGUGUGAAGCAAGUUCAUGAAAUGCUAGGAAGAGGUUCUCAGCAGACCACAGCCCUUCAAACUAAUAGUAGUUCAUAUGCCGAACACGGGGAUCAGUCAUCCAGGGCAGCAACUCUACAGAGUCCCACGUUGACUGUAAGACAUGGACAGCCUGGUGAAAACCCUCUACAAACUAGCACCCACAUAUUUGUAGAGAACAUUGGUGUCAGGCUCAGAAAAGUAUAUCCACUUAGCAGAAAAAGAGGCUGUGGCCCCAGUGUGAUUUCACAAUACCACUCUGGACUACAGGUCAGCUUUUCUCCCUCGACAAUGGGAAGUGCUUUCCUUUGAGGCAUAUGCUUGAUAUGCUUGCCUGGAAUCCCUGACCGCGAUGGCUUCAGUGAGGAUGGAAGCUGACUGUAGACAGAGCCAUCACUGAUGACAGAAGGUAAGGGUAUGGUUCUUUGCAAGAAGGCUGGGUAAUUGGAGGGAUCGCACAUAUGCAGUCCACAAGAACACUGUGACAUGUUUUCCCACAGACCACUGGCUUCCUCAAGCAAUAGAGGAGCAGACCCAUGCCUACGAGGAAGUAAGAAACAGGCUGGUCAGCCAGACCUUGACUGAUGAUGCUCCAUGAAUCUAGCACUUCAGUGUGAUGAGACACAGUUCUUCCUGAGGCUGAGAGCUGCACUGUGAUCCAGGCAAGAGCCAGUGAAGUGGAAGAACCUCCAAGGGCUAGGCAGUGAAAAAGGGAGCCUUACCUAGCAGAGGUGUGUCACCCAACAUGGUGACGGGCCCCCACUGUGAGUGUCAGAAGGUUGUGGACACAUAGCCAGCAAAAAUCCUCCUGUGAGAGGACAGAGUCGGGGAGUCAGCACACCCGCAGAGCAGUGAUUUUCCACCAGUGUGCCGCAAGAAUUUUCAAAACAUGCAGUACCUGUCCACUGAGUCCGGAGUACUGACCUCUUUUCCCUUAGACUGUCAUACAAAAAAAUGACAACAGCCAACACAACAAUAGCUGCCCAGUGUGAAUGAAUCAAAACUAUACUUUUUUUGGUCAGAUUGGCAAAAAAAAAUGUAUUUUUUGGUGCGUUGAAGAAUUUUAGUAAUUAGUUUAUGUGUGCUAUGGGAUGAAAAAGGUUGACAAUCAUUGUUACAGAGGGUGAGGGAAAUGGUCAAGAAACACUUUUAUUUUUACGAUGUGGGCUUUGGAAAGGCUACAAAGGGCCACAAAUCAUGGAGCAGAGGAUGACGGAGGCCAACCCGAACACGAAGCAGGCAAUCCACAUGAAACAGCAACUGAGACGGGCAAGGCAGAAACAUGAUCCUUAAAUAUCCAAGGCAAGUGGUGGGAAGUGAGACUUCCUAGUGGCUAGAGGACAGAGCUUGGAGAGAGCCCCAGGGCAGCUGGUGCAUUCCUGGGGCCUUCUCCAUGGGUGAGCAAGUGGGCUGCUAUGGUCACAGGAGGCCGGAUACCUGGGAGAAGCAUGAUCUGCUAAUCCUACCUGACAUCCUGGUGUUAGUGAGUAGUGAAAUGAUAGUUUCCAGACAUUUGGUGAAAUAAGAGUCAGCCCAAACGUCACAGAGGCCAACCUGAAGUCUGUGGAAUGUGGGUCACUGUUUUGUCACAUGUGACACUGUUCCCAUGAACAAUGAAUGGAACGUGGCAUUGAACAAUUUAGCUGGGAUUUAGUAGCACUCAAGCCAUGUUUACAGGAUGAGUGAAUGCGGGAAUGAACAAACACAUGUUUUGGGGACAUCUGGGAAGGGAGUUUACCACAUAGAAGGUGAAUUCUCAUAUCAACUCACUUUCGGGAAGCCGAUGGGUGAGUCAGCCCUGACCUGUUCCCACACUCCUUGAUCUGUUCAUUUGUUUACUCACUCGUUUAUUUAACCAACAUUUGUUGAGUGCCUGCCAUGUUUAAAGGAGUGCACCAGUCAUGGGCGUUCCACAAAUAAUGAAAUGUACUCCUGAUCUCAAGAACUGUAUCACCCAGAGAGGGCAUCAGAGGUGUGAACAUAAUUGCUGUAAGCGCCGUGGGAUCUACGGGGGAAGAUGAGUGGGCAGGAUGGAAGGUAAAGACAGGAACGAGAAACAGCGGAUCUCACUGGAGCAGGCUUCCCCUGGCAGCACAGUCUGAGAGUGUUCUGAAAGGAGAACAUGAGGACAAGGUGGAGGAGGGCAUGACUGGCCAAGGGCAAUGGUUUGUGCAUUAUUGUAGAGACGAAGAAGUGUGCUACAGUU